rnacentral:rRNA from 1 species
GACAGAGGGUGCAAACGUUGUUCGGAAUUACUGGGCGUAAAGAGCGCGCAGGCGGCCAAGUCAGUCGAAUGUGAAAGCCCCCGGCUCAACUGGGGAGGGUCAUUCGAUACUGCUCGGCUCGAAGACAGGAGAGGGAAGUGGAAUUCCCGGUGUAGUGGUGAAAUGCGCAGAUAUCAGGAAGAACACCCGUGGCGAAGGCGGCUCUCUGGGACGGUACUGACGCUGAGACGCGAAAGCGUGGGGAGCGAACAGG